rnacentral:lncRNA from 1 species
AAUAAGCUCAUUACAGAAAGAUGGCAAUAUAAGCAAAGAACAUACAACUGGGAUAGGCCAUGAACAUAAGCAUACAUGAGUACCUCAAAGGCAAGUAAGUAACUCUUAUGAUCUAUUUCCAGUUGAAAAUAUAGCUGGAAAUUACAAACCAUGACAAGUCAGAAUGGUAGAGGAAGAGACCAACGGUCACGCAACAGUGAAGUGAGAUGAUCUAAAUCUUACACAAAAUAAUUCUGUAGCUGAAUGUUAACAAAUAACUCUGCAGUUCUAUGCUCAUUCACAAAUGUGGUUCAGCAGAAGCACCUCCGACCAUUAUUCUGUCAACAAAACAGACUCAUCAUUCACAAAUAUUCUAGGAUUUUACAGUUAUUCUAUUUCUUGGAGAUGUAAAAGCAUUUAAUCAUGUGGGAUAGUUUAAACUGAAGCAAUAUUAGUACAAUGAAAAGUUGACAUUCUCGACUCUAUGUAGCUCUUUUCAGAACAGAAAAAUCACUGUAACUUUAAUUUCAUUAUUUCCUUUGCUUGCUGAACAUUGAACAAUACACAACACCAGAGUCGUGCUACGAUUUUAGGUAUACAACGAGUAACUAAUAAACCAUGUUUAUGUACCAGUGCACCAUAAUUUAUGAAAAUACGAAGCAGAGAACGUCCAAUUUUGUAGUUGAGCACAUUUUGUGAGGAGUGCUCCCAACGUUUUGUGUGCCCACGACACAUUAUGAACCAAUCGCCAUGUUCAUGUUCGUUCUACUUAUGAGGUAGGAAUGCCAGCCACUUUGGCGUUCCUCUCAAUCAGAACAUAAAUAUCAUUUAGCCAAAUAUGUAACACUGGUAUCAUUUUCUCUAUUUAAAAUUUACCACCUUACAGUGACCAAACUAAGACAGAACUGAAUCACUCUUCUUGGCCAUAAUCAGAACAAAACUGGAGCCAACCUGAACACUGAUUGCAGAAAAUAACUGAUCAAACAUGCAAGCUCCUCUGAGCAAUGUGACCAGAUUAGUAAAUCAAAUGUGGUGCUUGGAGUAGAUUAAAAUCAGCAGAAACAUUUGGUUACUGAAGGCACACACCAAUGAACAUGACAUGAAAUUCAGAAGGAUUCAGAUGCUCUUAGUCCUAUCAAACACCACAAAACUAUCGUACAGUUUGCUCAAAUCCUGAACUAAAAAGAGUGGAUUGCCCUCAGCCACAAAUAAGCUAACUAGCCACAAGUUUCCCCAAUAAAUUAUGAAUCGCACCAGACCCGUACCUUGGACAUUAACAGUAGCAGAAAUCAUUGGACGCAUCAACAACCAGACCAAGAACCUUACCUAAAAACGAAGGACGGGGGAGAGGGGGAGGAGAACGACGGAGGGGGCACCGGAG